GUGGGGAAUAUUGGACAAUGGGCGAAAGCCUGAUCCAGCCAUGCCGCGUGUGUGAAGAAGGUCUUCGGAUUGUAAAGCACUUUAAGUUGGGAGGAAGGGCAGUAAGUUAAUACCUUGCUGUUUUGACGUUACCGACAGAAUAAGCACCGGCUAACUUCGUGCCAGCAGCCGCGGUAAUACGAAGGGUGCAAGCGUUAAUUGGAAUUACUGGGCGUAAAGCGCGCGUAGGUGGUUUUGUAAGUUGGAGGUGAAAUCCCCGGGCUCAACCUGGGAACUGCCUCCAAAACUGCAUGACUAGAGUACGGUAGAGGGUAGUGGAAUUUCCUGUGUAGCGGUGAAAUGCGUAGAUAUAGGAAGGAACACCAGUGGCGAAGGCGACUACCUGGACUGAUACUGACACUGAGGUGCGAAAGCGUGGGGAGCAAACAGGAUUAGAAACCCUGGUAGUCC
rnacentral:rRNA from 1 species